rnacentral:rRNA from 3 species
CAACUUUCAGCAACGGAUCUCUUGGCUCUCGCAUCGAUGAAGAACGCAGCGAAAUGCGAUAAGUAAUGUGAAUUGCAGAAUUCAGUGAAUCAUCGAAUCUUUGAACGCACCUUGCGCUCCUUGGUAUUCCGAGGAGCAUGCCUGUUUGAGUAUCAUGG